UUCUGUUGUGAUUUGUAUUUUGUUUUAUUCCUUAAGGCAAAUCACUAGGCAUUGGUGUUACACUUAAAAUGAAUUAUAGGCAAGCAUUACAUCUUGGUAGAUUCUAAAGCAUUUAGAUUAAUUGUCCUGAUGGGCCUCAUUUCUCAAGAAAAACAUCCUGUUUCAGUCAUUUCAGUGGGUGGGGAACAACACAGGACAUCUGAAAGAGAUGGAUGUUGGUGGAGACCGUGUGAGAGAUGAAGUGAGCCCAUAUAUAAGGAAAAGACACAAUAUCCUGGCUUCAGGCACCCGGUAAUGUUCAUCCUAGACUAAUGCAGGU